UUCUUCAGGGUCUACAUCAUGUGUGGAGGUUAGUACCCUUCUUCAGGGUCUACAUCAUGUGUGGAGGUUAGUACCCUUCAGAGACUACAUCAUGUGUGGAGGUUAGUACCCUUCUUCAGAGACUACAUCAUCAAAUCAAAUCAAAUCAAAUUUAUUUAUAUAGCCCUUCGUACAUCAGCUGAUAUCUCAAAGUGCUGUACAGAAACCCAGCCUAAAACCCCAAACAGCAAACAAUGCAGGUGUAAAAGCACGGUGGCUAGGAAAAACUCCCUAGAAAGGCCAAAACCUAGGAAGAAACCUAGAGAGGAACCGGGCUAUGUGGGGUGGCCAGUCCUCUUCUGGCUGUGCCGGGUAGAGAUUAUAACAGAACAUGACCAAGAUGUUCAAAUGUUCAUAAAUGACCAGCAUGGUCGAAUAAUAAUAAGGCAGAACAGUUGAAACUGGAGCAGCAGCACAGUCAGGUGGACUGGGGACAGCAAGGAGCCUUCAUGUCAGGUAGUCCUGGGGCACGGUCCUAGGGCUCAGGUCAGUUGAAACUGGAGCAGGAGCAUGGCCAGGUGGACUGGGGACAGCAAGGAGUCCUCAUGUCAGGUAGUCCUGGGACAUGGUCCUAGGGCUCAGGUCCUCCGAGAGAAGAAAGAAAGAGAGAAGGAGAGAAUUAGAGAACGCACACUUAAUUUCACACAGGACACCGA